rnacentral:lncRNA from 1 species
CUGAGGUGUGAUGAGAUCUUCUUGUUCUUUUGGAGUGAUGAGUGUGAUGCUUUUUGUGGUGGGGAGAUUUUUUUAUGUGAUGCUUUGGAGAUGAUAACGGACUCUGGCGUGGUGGAGAGUGAAGGAGAUGCUUUGCCGCCGACGGAAUUGUUCCAAUAGAAUCGGCGGAGGUAGAGUCAGAUUCUGUUCUGUUCUCGCUGUGGGAGGCAGACUUGUUAAAUGCGG